rnacentral:rRNA from 1 species
AUUGAACGCUGGCGGCAUGCCUUACACAUGCAAGUCGAACGGCAGCACGGGAGCAAUCCUGGUGGCGAGUGGCGAACGGGUGAGUAAUAUAUCGGAACGUGCCCAGUCCUGGGGGAUAACGCAGCGAAAGCUGUGCUAAUACCGCAUACGAUCUACGGAUGAAAGCGGGGGAUCGCAAGACCUCGCGCGAUUGGAGCGGCCGAUAUCAGAUUAGCUAGUUGGUGGGGUAAAGGCCCACCAAGGCGACGAUCUGUAGCUGGUCUGAGAGGACGACCAGCCACACUGGAACUGAGACACGGUCCAGACUCCUACGGGAGGCAGCAGUGGGGAAUUUUGGACAAUGGGCGCAAGCCUGAUCCAGCAAUGCCGCGUGCAGGAUGAAGGCCUUCGGGUUGUAAACUGCUUUUGUACGGAACGAAACGGCUCCUUCUAAUACAAGGGGCUAAUGACGGUACCGUAAGAAUAAGCACCGGCUAACUACGUGCCAGCCGCCGCCGUAAGAC